rnacentral:rRNA from 1 species
AGAGUUUGAUCCUGGCUCCGGAUGACCUCUAGCGGCAGGCUUAACACAUGCAAGUCGAGGGGCAGCGGGGAGGAAGCUUGCUUUCUCCGCCGGCGACCGGCGCACGGGUGAGUAACACGUAUGCAACCUGCCCCUGUCAGGGGGACAACCCGCCGAAAGGCGGGCUAAACCCGCGUACAUGCCACCGGGGCAUCCCGGAGGCAGGAAAGGCUUCGGCCGGACAGGGAUGGGCAUGCGGCGCAUUAGGCAGUAGGCGGGGUAACGGCCCACCUAACUGACGAUGCGUAGGGGUUCUGAGAGGAAGGUCCCCCACACUGGUACUGAGACACGGACCAGACUCCUACGGGAGGCAGCAGUGAGGAAUAUUGGUCAAUGGUCGGGAGACUGAACCAGCCAAGCCGCGUGAGGGAGGAAGGUACAGAGUAUCGUAAACCUCUUUUGUCAGGGAACAAAGGCGGGGAUGUGUCCCCGGAUGAGUGUACCUGAAGAAAAAGCAUCGGCUAACUCCGUGCCAGCAGCCGCGGUAAUACGGAGGAUGCGAGCGUUAUCCGGAUUUAUUGGGUUUAAAGGGUGCGCAGGCGGUCUGUUAAGUCAGCGGUCAAAGCCCGGGGCUCAACCCCGGCCCGCCGUUGAAACUGGCAGUCUCGAGUUGGAGAGAAGUAUGCGGAAUGCGCGGUGUAGCGGUGAAAUGCAUAGAUAUCGCGCAGAACUCCGAUUGCGAAGGCAGCAUGCCGGCUCCACACUGACGCUGAGGCACGAAAGCGUGGGUAUCGAACAGGAUUAGAUACCCUGGUAGUCCACGCAGUAAACGAUGAAUGCUGGCUGUCCGGGGGGAUUGACCCCUGGGUGGCGAAGCGAAAGCGAUAAGCAUUCCACCUGGGGAGUACGCCGGCAACGGUGAAACUCAAAGGAAUUGACGGGGGCCCGCACAAGCGGAGGAACAUGUGGUUUAAUUCGAUGAUACGCGAGGAACCUUACCCGGGCUCAAACGGGGAGUGACUCAGGCAGAGACGCCUGUUUCCCACGGGACACUCCCCGAGGUGCUGCAUGGUUGUCGUCAGCUCGUGCCGUGAGGUGUCGGCUUAAGUGCCAUAACGAGCGCAACCCCCGCGUGCAGUUGCUAACAGAUAACGCUGAGGACUCUGCACGGACUGCCGGCGCAAGCCGCGAGGAAGGCGGGGAUGACGUCAAAUCAGCACGGCCCUUACGUCCGGGGCGACACACGUGUUACAAUGGGUGGUACAGCGGGAAGCCAGGCGGCGACGCCGAGCGGAACCCGAAAUCCACUCUCAGUUCGGAUCGGAGUCUGCAACCCGACUCCGUGAAGCUGGAUUCGCUAGUAAUCGCGCAUCAGCCAUGGCGCGGUGAAUACGUUCCCGGGCCUUGCACACAACGCCCGUCA